UUACCAGACUCCUACGGGAGGCAGCAGUGGGGAAUAUUGCACAAUGGGGGAAACCCUGAUGCAGCGACGCCGCGUGAGUGAAGAAGUAUUUCGGUAUGUAAAGCUCUAUCAGCAGGGAAGAUAAUGACGGUACCUGACUAAGAAGCCCCGGCUAACUACGUGCCAGCAGCCGCGGUAAUACGUAGGGGGCAAGCGUUAUCCGGAUUUACUGGGUGUAAAGGGAGCGCAGGCGGUACGGCAAGUCUGAUGUGAAAGCCCGGGGCUCAACCCCGGUACUGCAUUGGAAACUACCGGACUGGAGUGUCGGAGGGGUAAGUGGAAUUCCUAGUGUAGCGGUGAAAUGCGUAGAUAUUAGGAGGAACACCGGUGGCGAAGGCGGCUUACUGGACCAUAACUGACGUUGAGGCUCGAAAGCGUGGGGAGCGAACAGGAUUAGAUACCCCGGUAUUA
rnacentral:rRNA from 1 species